UACAGAGGGUGCGAGCGUUAAUCGGAAUUACUGGGCGUAAAGCGCGCGCAGGCGGCCCGCGAGGUGUCACGUGAAAGCCCCGGGCUCAACCCGGGAGGGUCGUGGCAAACCGGCGGGCUUGAGGCCGGUAGAGGUGGGUGGAACUCCUGGUGGAGUGGUGAAAUGCGUAGAGAUCAGGAAGAACACCCGUGGCGAAGGCGGCCCACUGGGCCGGUACUGACGCUGAGGCGCGAAGGCGUGGGGAGCGAACGGG
rnacentral:rRNA from 1 species